GACGAACGCUGGCGGCGUGCUUAACACAUGCCAGUCGAACGAUGAACCCGGAGCUUGCUCUGGGGGAUUAGUGGCGAACGGGUGAGUAACACGUGAGUAACCUGCCCUGGACUCUGGGAUAAGCGUUGGAAACGACGUCUAAUACCGGAUAGGACCUUGGAUCGCAUGAUCUGGGGUGGAAAGUUUUUUCGGUCUGGGAUGGACUCGCGGCCUAUCAGCUUGUUGGUGAGGUAAUGGCUCACCAAGGCGUCGACGGGUAGCCGGCCUGAGAGGGUGACCGGCCACACUGGGACUGAGACACAGCCCAGACUCCUACGGGAGGCAGCAGUGGGGAAUAUUGCACAAUGGGCGAAAGCCUGAUGCAGCAACGCCGCGUGCGGGAUGACGGCCUUCGGGUUGUAAACCGCUUUUAGUAGGGAAGAAGGGCUUCGGCUUGACGGUACCUGCAGAAAAAGGACCGGCUAACUACGUG
rnacentral:rRNA from 1 species